AGAAAAAUUGACUGGUUCCACUGUAUGUGGAUACUUAAACUUGCACAAUACAGAAAGAUUCUUGUCUUAAGAUAGGCUUUCGUCGGCAACAAAGGGUUUGGUUUAGUGGUGGCCUAUCCUUUCCGAGAUCUGCAAGUCUGGGAAUAAUCACCUUCAUGCUCCUUGCAAUACUUGUCCUUCAUCUAGCAAGAAAAUAAGUAGGUUUUGUCUUGCAUGGAUUGAUGAGAGUGUCUUUUUUUAAGCCGCUAGCAAUUGGUGUUCUUGGUUGCAGUUCUGAGUUGACUGAUGUGGUUUCGCUUUGUUAAUGUUUUCCUGUUUUCUGCUUUCUUUUCCAGACGACAGCAUCGGAUAGUUCCCUUUUUGACCAUUUGAUAAAUAUUUGGGAGUUCAAUCCAGGACCAGUUCCAGGAUCUUGUAGCCUUUACUUUUUGGUGGAUUUUAAGUUUCAGUCGCCACUUUACCGGCAGGUGGCGUCGGUCUUCUUCAAGGAAGUGGUUGGCCGACUGGUCAGCUCGUUCAAUGAACGUUGCCGCUUGAUUUAUGGACCUGGGGUUCGAGUUAAUGAAGAGUCUUGUGAACAGAGGGCUUGAAGUUUGAAUGAGCCUCGUGUUGAUCUUGGUCCUUUUGCGAUGUAUUCUCAUGAUUGGCCAUUGUGUCAAAUGGGCAGUGAAUCUUGAUUCCCAUUUUGGGUUGCUGCCCGCACAGCAUAUUGCCAUUUUGUUUAUCGUAAUGGGCCUUUCUGGCCAAGGGAUAAAGCCUCAAGAGCGAGCUAUCAUUACGUUGCAGAUAGGUAACAUCAGCUGUAUCAUUUUUGCAAUUCUUUGAAUAUUUUCCCCCCUACUUGGGGAUUUAUGAAAUCAAAAGCAAUUUCGAUUUUAGAUUA